GUGGGGAAUAUUGGGCAAUGGGCGAAAGCCUGACCCAGCAACGCCGCGUGAAGGAAGAAGGUCUUCGGAUCGUAAACUUCUAUCCUUGGUGAAGAUAAUGACGGUAGCCGAGAAGGAAGCCCCGGCUAACUACGUGCCAGCAGCCGCGGUAAUACGUAGGGGGCAAGCGUUGUCCGGAAUGAUUGGGCGUAAAGGGCGCGUAGGCGGCCUGGUAAGUCUGGAGUGAAAGUCCUGCUUUUAAGGUGGGAAUUGCUUUGGGUACUGUCGGGCUUGAGUGCAGGAGAGGUAAGUGGAAUUCCCGGUGUAGCGGUGAAAUGCGUAGAGAUCGGGAGGAACACCAGUGGCGAAGGCGACUUACUGGACUGUAACUGACGCUGAGGCGCGAAAGCCAGGGGAGCAAACGGGAUUAGAUACCCGGGUAGUCC
rnacentral:rRNA from 1 species